UGAGGAAUAUUGGUCAAUGGGGGCAACCCUGAACCAGCCAAGUCGCGUGAAGGAUGAAGGUCUUAUGGAUCGUAAACUUCUUUUACACGGGACUAAAGUGGGGGACGUGUCCCCCUUUGCAUGUACCGUGUGAAUAAGGAUCGGCUAACUCCGUGCCAGCAGCCGCGGUAAUACGGAGGAUCCGAGCGUUAUCCGGAUUUAUUGGGUUUAAAGGGUGCGCAGGCGGGAUGUUAAGUCGGCGGUGAAAUUUUGCAGCUCAACUGUAAAAGUGCCUUCGNUACUGGCCUCCUUGAGUGUGGAUGAAGUAGGCGGAAUUUGUGGUGUAGCGGUGAAAUGCUUAGAUAUCACGAGGAACGCCGAUUGCGCAGGCAGCUUACUAAGCCACAACUGACGCUCAUGCACGAAGGCGUGGGGAUCAAACA
rnacentral:rRNA from 1 species